GGGCGGGUAGCGAAGCCUGGUUGAACGCAGCAGACUGUAGAUCUGCCGGCCUUAAUGGCCCUCGGAGGUUCAAAUCCUUCCCCGCCCA
rnacentral:tRNA from 1 species